UAGAAUUACUCUUUCCUCUCAGUGCACAACGCCCACCCACCAAGCCCCCAAUCUCUCUCUCGCUUGCCCCGUGGGUAGGGUUUGAAUCCCUGUCGCCACCAGCCUCCCCCUCUUUGCGUCCAACAGCGGCGGCGCUGCUGCCCACGGGCCUCGGCCUUUCUUCCGCUGUAUGCCGCUGCUCCCGGUGAUCCCGCUGCCUGCCGCCGGUGGCUGCCGCUCGCUUCACUUGCACGAUUAUCCACCGCCGGUCGCCUCUCCCCUAGGUCGCGUCGCCGUAUACGCUGUUCUGGCCUCCUCAACUCAAGCCCGAGGUCAGCCGGCCUACUAUGACCUUGCCUCCCCACGCGCGCGUCACCGCCAACAGCUAGCCGCCUCCAUGCUGCAACCGACAAGAUGACCCGGCAGCCCAAGCGGAAGCUUCCGGCCUCUCCGGCGAGGUCCGACUCUUCGCUUCCGGCCUCCACAGCGUGAUUUGCCUUGAGUAACUGCGGGAGUUAUCCAUUGAUGAGGUGAAGAGGGAACUCUCGCAGAUUGGACCGAAGACGGAGGACGAAAGCUAGCGACUAAGUAGUUCAGAUGGGAGUGCUUGGUCACCGACAGUGGUCAAAGGGAAUGCAGUUUAGUUUAUGCGUUGGGUUUGUCCUGUCUAUUUUAGUACUCCCUCCGUCCGGAAUUACUUGAUGAAAUAUUACAUGUAUCUAGACGUUUUUUACACAUAGAUACAUUCGUUUUUGGGCAAAUUUGAGACAAGUAAUACCAGCCGGAGGGAGUAGUAUACUUACUAAUGUGAACUCAAGCUUUUAAUUAAAGACUGCAAAUAUGCCACAAAGUGUAGUUUCGGUGCUGUGAAGUAUCAAAAACUCAAGCUAUUCUGCCUCGUAUUGUGAUUGAAAUUGUUGCACUUUUUUUCCUAAAAAAUUAAAUUGUUGCAUUUUAGUCCACAGCGUAGCUCAUUCCCAAUGUGAACCUAUUAGAUAUUGGAUAAUUCCAGCAUUAUGGGCCAUUAUCAGAUAAUUAUCAUUAUCAAUACAUAAUUACCCCUUAUUAAGUUGCUCUAAGAUCGAAGCAGCCCUCUUUUAGUUGUUUGAAAUUUCCUUGGUACAAUUUAGGGUUGUAACCUCAAAAUUUUAGAUAACUAGAGCUAUGGCAAGGUUGUUGGAUGGAUCAUUUUGUUUUUAUAUGCUCAAAAUUGGAUCAUGUUUGGACACUGUAAAUCUCCACUGGCAAACAUUUGCUUUAACAUUACUAGGUAUAGUAACUAUAGAUUUUUGCGGUCACCUAACAACUUUGAGUUACGAUUAUACCCUAAUGUUACUUAUGAUCAAUGGGAGACAUUCAUUUGAUGGCAAUGUUUUAAGAUGCUCAGAUUGUGAUCAGAUGCGGCAGAUUCUCUUGGCUUUGGUAACAAAGAUUUUUAGUGCAUUGACAUCAUUCCCAAGUACCGUACAACUCUUAUAAAACGUGAUAUAUUAGAAUCAGGAAAAUAGGUUGCAAUAAGGCCUCCCUGCUAUUAGGUUCCAUUUACAUAUCCUUUUCAUCGACUAAGACUACUUUGCACAUGGUCAUGGUGAUAAGCCUAUGGUUCUCACUACUGGUUUUGUUCUUCUAAAUAAGACGUACAUAACUUGUGUAAUCGUUUUGUAUGUUAGCUAAUAUUUUCUUCUUUGCUGUGUUGCAUCAGACGAUAACUGAUGAGAUAUCCAUACUAAGCAUUUGGAUUAUUUAGUGCCAUUCUCCAUGCAGAGAACAGAGUUGAUUUUCUUCUUGAGUCUUGAGUACAAGUCCAAGCUUCAUUCAGUAAUCAGUAUACAUGCGUUCUCUAUCUGCAAUAAAUAUAAAUUACUAUAUUGCAAAAGUUUGCAAAGAAAACAUUACAGUGACUUUAUUUAAAGAUACAUGGUGGUAGAGUUUUACAUAUUAAUCAUGGGGCUUACAACUC